CCAAAUAACAGUAUUUAAAUGGCCUCAUUUUGUAUUAUUGUGGCAUAAUCUCAUCGCCACUUGUCACUGAGCUUCAUCUAAAUUGUGAAACAGCGCCCCCUGGAUUAAAACACGUUGUAAGUAUCGGUGAUUGUGUGCGGUCAAACGGGGUAUUGCAGUCCUACAGCAAGCUCUAGCAGAGGAAGCCAGGAGGAAAACCAGGUGAAGUCGGCACCUGUUUGAUUAGAUAAUGGUCUCAGUCAGUCAGUCAGUCCGGCGGGCGGGUUCACUGUCGAUUCACCGUGAAAGAUCCAUUUCACAACAAACCAUUACUUUCAUAAAUUUCUCACGCUAAUGAAAGAACCGCGAAAGUUUUAGCUAGUUUUUUCGGUAAUGUGUCGAACGCGGCCGGACUCAAAAUGGCGGCUGCAACGACAAGUGCAAAUGAACAACUUCCGUCUUCUCUUCAAACACGGUGAAGUGUGAUCAGUACUGGCGUGCAGACCGAGAGCCUCUGUCCUACAGUGACCUGGUCAUUCAGAUGCUGUCAGAGCAUCGGUACCUGCUCUUUAUCUCAGUUCCUGAUCCAGUUUGUCAGGAUGGUCCCGGGACUACGUGGACCGAUCACCCACCACCGGAGCCACCAUCGUACACUGCAGUGCUGGUGUUGGCCGUACAGGGACCUUCAUCGCCUUGGAUCGGGUUCUGCAGCAGCUGGACUCCAAAGGAACCAUCGACCUGUACGGCUGUGUCUUCGACCUCCAGCUGCACCGCCAACAUAUGGUCCAGACUGAGGUACAGCCCCAUCCUGCUGAAGUGUGCCACAUAAGACUCUAGGGCUGUAUGAAUACAGGACCAAACUAGGGCUUAAAGGCCAGUGAAUACAGGACCAAACUAGGGCUGAAAACUACCAGGGAUGUGAUUUUUCCGCAUUAAUCUGGAAUUCCGGAUAUUCCGACCUAAAAAUCGGUCCCACGUGAAUCAUGAACAAGGAUGUUUGU